GACGAACGCUGGCGGCGUGCUUAACACAUGCAAGUCGAACGGCAAGGCCCUGCUUUUGUGGGGUGCUCGAGUGGCGAACGGGUGAGUAACACGUGAGUAACCUGCCCUUGACUUUGGUAUAACUUCAGGAAACUGGGGCUAAUACCGGAUAGGAGCUCCUGCUGCAUGGUGGGGGUUGGAAAUUUUCGGCGGUUGGGGAUGGACUCGCGGCUUAUCAGCUUGUUGGUGGGGUAGUGGCUUACCAAGGCUUUGACGGGUAGCCGGCCUGAGAGGGUGACCGGCCACAUUGGGACUGAGAUACGGCCCAGACGCGUACGGGAGGCAGCAGUGGGGAAUAUUGCACAAUGGGCGGAAGCCUGAUGCAGAAACGCCGCGUGCGGGAUGACGGCCUUCGGGUUGUAAACAGCUGUCGCCUGUGACGAAGCGGGAGUGACGGUAAUGGGUAAAGAAGCACCGGCUAACUACGUG
rnacentral:rRNA from 1 species